UGUAAGCGUAUACCAAAGUUGUUGCAGUUAAAACGCUCGUAGUCGGAAUUUGGCAGUUCCGGAUGUGUGCACGUCGUGUGCGCACUUCGCGGGGAUUGCUUUUGUGGUCUUGCGUAGGAUGAGGCACUUUUAUUAGUGAACGUCCUCACGCAACCACUUUUUACUGUGAGAAAAUCAGAGUGCUCAAAGCAGGCAUUUGCCGUGAAUGUAUUAGCACGGAAUAAUAGAAUAGGACUUGGUUCUAUUUUGUUGGUUUGUUGGGACUGAGUAAUGAUUAAGAGGGACAGUUGGGGGCAUUUGUAUUUCGGUGCUAGAGGUGAAAUUCUUAGAUUACCGAGAGACAAACUGCUGCGAAAGCGUCUGCCAAGGAUGUUUUCAUUGA
rnacentral:rRNA from 1 species